UCUCCGUUGGUGAACCAGCGGAGGGAUCAUUACCGAGUUUACAACUCCCAAACCCCUAUGUGAACGUUACCAAACUGUUGCCUCGGCGGGAAAAUCAUGCCCCGGGCGCGUCGCAGCCCCGGACCCAGGCGCCCGCCUGAGGACCCACCAAAACUCUUUUUUAUGUCCCUCGCGGCCUUUUAUAAUUCUGAACCAUCUCGGCGCCCCUAGCGGGCGUUUCGAAAUUGAAUCAAAACUUUCAACAACGGAUCUCUUGGUUCUG
rnacentral:misc_RNA from 1 species